rnacentral:rRNA from 1 species
UACGUAGGUGACAAGCGUUGUCCGGAUUUACUGGGCGUAAAGAGCGCGCAGGCGGUCGUUCAAGUCGAGUGUGAAAGCCCCCGGCUCAACUGGGGAGGGUCAUUCGAUACUGAUCGACUCGAAGGCAGGAGAGGGUAGUGGAAUUCCCGGUGUAGUGGUGAAAUGCGUAGAUAUCGGGAGGAACAUCAGUGGCGAAGGCGACUACCUGGCCUGUUCUUGACGCUGAGGCGCGAAAGCUAGGGGAGCAAACGGG